CCAAAGACUUACUUAAAAUCGAUUUCUUUCCCCACCUCUUUCCCUAUCAUUGCUAGUUUUCUCAGCCUAACAUGACUUGUUACCCAGCCAGGCGUGUGAGCGGUGUUGUGAUCGUCGCCUAGAGGUGUCCAUGUUCCGGGAGUCGCUGCCCUUCCAGUCCCCCUCCGCUGUCUGUCUGAGCAACCUGGGUGAAGAGCGGCGGACGCCGCGUUCCAUGUUAAUGUUUGCUGACCAGCCGUCCUCUCUUAUUUUCUCAGUCCUAGCGAGGUGAAGGAGGGACGCUUGCUUCUGCGGCAAACAGAAGCAAUCCGCGAGGACGACAGGAAGGUGCGAACGUUUGAGGUGGAUGAAAAUAAUUAAUUAAUUGCUCAAUAUGUUGCUGACGAGCAGUCUUCAACGUUCGCACCGUGUCGUCCUCGUGGGUUGCCAUCUUAAACGUUUAACAUUCACCACUUUAUCAGAAGCCGCCUCCUUUACUAACCAGUAGGGACUGGAGAGGCAAAGAGGACGGGGCUGAUCAGCAAACGGAUGGAGAAACCAAGAGUAUACCAUCUCGUGUCUCCAACCCUACGGGGUGGUUGUAAGCACCGAGCAGAAUCAGGGAGCCAAGACGCAAGUAUGGGGAUAGCCCGCGAAUGCCCGGCGAUGUCUUUAGUACGAAAACUCUGGGAGGGUGAAGAGGCACGUGGCAUUCAGCGGGUGAGAACUCGCAUGUUGCUGGAAGACAAGUAAGUGUUGCAACUAUGGACAUCUACCACCAGAGCGGUAGCCGGCCAUUACGAAUUACCCACACCAUUUUGAGAUGCAGAACCGGAUCUGCCAAACAACAACAACGAGAUGGCGCAGAAACGCUUGAAGGGACAGACGACGCCUCGCUAGGGAUUCGGACUUCAGACGACGAUAUGCAGGAGAGAGAGAACAAUUGCUGUUAAAGAGCGAUGCCAGCGUCUGAACGUGAAGGACCACGAGGAGUAACCUGGUGCCUGCCUCACCAUCCACUCAUGAACCCAAACAAACCUGAGAAAGUGAAGGCUUUGUUUGCGCAGCGAAGUACAACAACGUUUCCCUCAAAGACUGAGUGAUGCAGGUUCCUGACCUAAAUAGCAAACUGGUGGGUGCCCUUCUGCGUUUCCGAAGUGAACGGAUUGCCGCGAUGGCUGAUGUGAAGGCAAUGUUUCUCAUCAAGCUGGCGUGACCCCUCUUCACCGAGACUCCUUAAGAGAUUCCUUUGGUGGAAAGAUGGGGACCUAAGGAGGGUACGGCGCGCCUACCGAAUGACGGGUAUGUCUUUUCGGGUGUGUAUGGAGUCCCUCCUGUGCUGCUUACUCAUUGCAACGAACUUUGACCGACUGUGAGGAAGAAUAUCGCAUAGCUAGUAGUUACUGAACAUGAAGGGGCUUGUACGUGGACAACUUACUUCUUUCAGUACCCUCCACCGAAAAGGCCUCCAGAUUUACUCGCGAUCUUCGGCUCACAAAGAGAGGAUUUCUGCUAAGUGGGUUAGUUAGUAGUAACCAUAAGGAGACAUAGUACAGUACUGUGUCCUACAGAGAGAGACAGGAAUAAGAAUAGAUCUGAGUAAGGACGCACUGGCUACAAAACGGGAUCUGGAAAGGGAUCAGUCAAUCAACUAGCUGUGAGGGGAGUACUGAGGGUGAGCAGCUCCGUUCAUGACCCUCUUGGACUGGUCAGUCCUGUAAUGAUUAAGGCGAAGGCGAUGAUCUUUCAGGACGAGUGCAGCCGAUAAGGAAGGAUGGAUGACCCCCUCCUAAAUCACCACAGGUCCUAAUUGGUUGGCUUGGCUGGAGGAGUUACCAGGACUGACGGUCUUUCAAGUUCCCCGAUGCUACAGGCGGGAGGACAUGGGAGAUGUUUUAUCACUUACCAACUGCAUCAUUUCAGAUCAAACAGGCUGAGAUGGUGAUAUUAAGAGUUGUUCAAACCACAACGUGCAAAGAGGAGAUGAACAUCCUAAAGUCAAAGUCAAAGAAAAAAAACUACAGAGGAAACAUUCGAUCUGUCGAGUGGAACCCUUCAUGGGUGAGGGUGGAUUUUAUACUCCAUGUGGACGGCUGGACCACGCACCGUUGCCUGCUACAAGUCGGUAUCCCAUUUCCAUGCUCAUACGGAGAGAGAUCAUCAUAUCACAAAAUUGAUUCUACAAGAGUGCAUGAGGACUUUACUUGACAGUUCACGCAGGAUGGGAGCAUGUUACGUCACACUUACUGGAUUCCACAUACACCACCUGCCUGAGUACCGAGAGUAACCCCCAUGCUGGCACCAUUCUCGUCAGCUGGAGUGGAUUGCUUCAGACCGUUCUUGGUCAAAGUGGAAAGAAGCAGAGUGAGUGAGUGGGGAUGCCUCCACGUGCAUGACUACACACAUAAGAACAUAAGAAAUAAGGGAAGCUGCAAGAAGCGACCAGGCUUACACGUGGCAGUCCCUGUAUGAAAUAUACCUACCUAUUUUCUAUUUAUUAUCCCAA